GAGAUGAAGUGUUGCUGUGUCGCCCAGGCUGGAGUACAGUGGCACGGUCUGGGCUCACUGCAAGCUCCGCCUCCCAGGUUCAAGCCAUUCUCCUGCCUCAGCCUCCCAAGUAGCUGGAAUUACAGGCACCCACUACCACGCCCUGCUAAUUUUUUGUAUUUUUAGUAGAGACGGGGUUUCACCAUGCUGGCCAGGCGUGCUGGUAGGUACCUGUAAUCCCAGCUACUUGGGAGGCUGAGGCAGGAGAAUUGCUUGAACCCAGGAGGUGGAGGUAGCAGUGAGCAGAGAUCGUGCCAGUGCACUCCAGCCUAGGCAACAGAGUGAGACUCUGUCUCAAAAAACCCACAAAAAUAAAUACAAAUAAAAAAUAAAAAUAAAUACCUGACAUGGCUAUUUAUUAGCGUGCUUGAAAACCAGUCCUGCAUAGAGCUACACAUGCAUAAAAAUUAUUUGGGAGAAUACACAAUAAAAUGUUAACAAUUACUAUCUCUAAGUGGUGCGAUUAUGGAUGAUUUUUUCACUUUUCUUCUUUAUUUAGUCAUACCUUUCUAUAUUUUCAUAUGCUUCUUUUCUUUUUGAGACAGAGUCCCAUGCUGUUGCCCAGGCUGGAGUACAGUGGCAUGAAUCUCGGCUCACUGCAACCUCUGCCUCCCGGGUUCAGGCGAUUCUACUGCCUCAGCCUCCCAAGUAGUUGGGAUUACAGGCGUGCGCCACCAGGCCUGGCUGAUUUUUGUAUUUUUAGUAGAGACAGGGUUUCACCAUGUUAGCCAGGCUGGUCUCAAACUCCUAAACUCAAGUGAUCUGCCUGCCUCAGCCUCCCAAAGUGCUGGGAUUACAGGCUUGAGCCACCAUGCCUGGCCCUGAUGGGUUUCUUUUAUCUUUUAUACAAAAUUGAAAGCAUACUAUGGUGUUUGACUAGUUUUUCCUUAAUAUUCAAACAAGAUAAUAUAUUAUCUUUCUUUGAAAAUAUUAUCAUCAAUGGGCACCUAAUUAUAAUAUGAGGAUCUAUCAUAACUUAUUUCUUCCCAUAUUUCUUCCAAUAUACAUAUUGGAAACAAGGGGUUUUUUUGUGGCUUAUAAAUUACCUUUUGAAAAACAUCCUUUUAUGAAAGUCAUCUCUGCUUUGGGAUAGUUUUCUAGGAGUACAUUUUUAAGUCAUCAAGUUUUUAAACUUUUUUUUUUUUGAGACAAGGUCUCACUAUAUUGCCCAGGCUGGAUUUGAACUCUGAGGCUCAAGUGAUUCUCUUGCCUCAACCUACCCAGUAGCUGGCACUACAGGUGUGCAUUACCAUACCUGGUUAUGACCGGUUUUUAAUGACUCUUGAAAUGUAUUACCAAAUUGCUUUCCAGAGAGGCUCUCCCAAUAAUGUCAAAUCUUAUCUAGUCUUACAGUUGCAAAUUGAUAGUAGUAUAGUUUUAAAAAAUUAUCCAUUUUCUAGUUUUAAUUUAUAUUUGAGAAAUAGUUUCAUUGGAUAAUUUUUAUGUGUAUUGGCCAUAUAAAUGGCAUUUUGAUGGCAAAUGCUAUAAUAGCACUAUACUAAUGACUAUUAUCCAACAAAUCAAUUAUGGGCCAGAAGUUUUAAUAACAGUAAGUUUUUAAGGAAAAACUUUAUGACUUUUAUUUCUAUUAAAAUUUUUUUUAAAAAAACCACACUUUUUCGAAUUGACUCAAGACAUUAAAAAAAGAAAUUUUUUUCCCCAAAAUUGUAAUAAAUAGCCUUCUAUCAGUCCACAAGAUGGGAGUAUUCUGAUCUUACAAUAUUUUAGCUUCAGUUGCUAAAAGUGGCAGUUUUUAGUUUUCAUAUUAAGCUUGUAUCAGAUCCCUUCUGCAAAGUCAUUAAGAAAAAAAUAAUUAUAUUCAAUUUAUAGCUCAUAAUAGUUUCCAUUCACAUGUUUGUAAGUUCACAGUCAAAAGGACUUUCUACUUCUAUGGAAUAUUUUUCAUGCAGUUAAUAUGUGGUAGCAUCAGGUAACUGCAGUACAUGUUUACUUUAAAAAAAUAAUAAUAACUUUGGCCAGGCACGGUGGCUCACAUCUGUAAUCCCAGCACUUUAGGAGGCCAAGGCCGGUGGAUAGGUUGAGCCCAGGAGUCCAAGACCAGCUGGGGCCACGUGGCGAAAACCUGUCUCUACUAAAAAUCCAAAAAUUAGUCAGGUGUGGUAGUGCACAUCUGUAGUCCUAGCUACUCACAAGGCUGUGGUGGGAGGAUUGAUUGAGCCUGGGAGGUUGAGGCUGCAGUGAGCUGCAAUCAUGCCAAUGCACUCCAGCCUGAGGGACAGAGGGAGACCCUGUCUCAAAGCAAAACGAAACAAAAAAGCACACACACAAAGAAACCCCUAAAAAACUAAAAAAACUUAGCUGGACAUGAUGGUGUGUGCCUAUAGUUCCAGCUACUCACAGGCUAAGGCUGGAGGAUCGCUUGAGCUCAGGAGUUUGAGGCUGCAGUGAGCUGUGAUGGCGCCACUGCACUAUAGUCUAGGUGACAGAGCAAGACCCUGUCUCUUAAAAAAAAAAUUAACUUUUAUGCUUAGGCUUACAUGCUUUAAUAAACAGUGACUUAGAAAUAUCAGGGGAACAGGCCGGGUGCAGUGGCUCAUGCCUGUAAUCCCAGCACUUUGGGAGGCUGAGGCGGGCAGAUCACGAGGUCAGGAGUUCAAGACCAGCCUGGCCAACAUAGUGAAACCCCGUCUCUACUAAAAAUACAAAAAUUAGCUGGGCAUGAUGGUGGGCGCCUGUAGUCCCAGCUACUUGGGAGGCUGAGGCAGGAGAAUCCCUUGAACCCAGGAGGUGGAGGUUGCAGUGAGCCGAGAUUGUGCCACUGCACUCUAGCCUGGGUGACACAGCGAGACUGUCUCAGAAAAAAAAAAGAAAGAAGUAUCAGGGGAACAAACUUGUGAAAGAAACAGACAUACGUGAACCUUUCUCAUCAAACCUUAACAGCUAUCAAUCACCAUUUAUAUAAAACUGGUACCAUCUCCAAUCUCAAGUGUUCUUUUCCACAUUUCUGGAAAUUUUACCUUAGAAUCACUAGUUCUUUGGUUGGCCUUUCUAUUUCUACUUCAUGUGGGCUACUAAUCCUGGUUAAAACUCUUAUAUGUACGGUAAUGGAAUCAACGGCUUCGACUGUCUUUUUUUUAGCAAGCCCUGAUCAACUAGGAAUACGACCACUUACAAUUGGCUACUCUCUUUUCUCUUAUUCAACAAAAGCAAAAACCAGGAGGCAUGUGUAGCUGACCUUACACAGCAACCAACUUUCCAACACUCUCAUCAGCAGGAGGUCGUUCUUUAAACUCUCUUAAAAUAAUUUCAUACUUAGUAGCACUAUCCAAGUGUCACUGGACCCAAUCACUAUAAUUCAUUCUCCUUAGCACUGUCCAACAAUCUCUAAUUUUACAAAAAUACUCAAGAGUGCAUCAGAGGCCAGGCGCCUCUGAUACGGGCUCACGCCUGUAAUCCCAGCACUUUGGGAGGCUGAGGCAGGCGGAUCACCUGAGGUCGGGAGUUCGAGACCAGCCUGACCAACCUGGAGAAACCCCGUCUCUACUAAAAAUACAAAAUUAGUCAGGCGUGGUGGCGCAUGCCUGUAAUCCCAGCUAAUCGGGAGGCUGAGGCAGGAGAAUCGCUUGAACCUAGGAGGCAGAGGUUGCAGUGAGCCGAGAUUGUGCCACUGCAUUCCAGCCUGGGUAACAAGAGCGAAACUCCGUCUCAAAAAAAAAAAGAAAAAAAAGUGCAUCAGAAAGAGCUUUUAGGAAGAUCCUUUUUAUUC
rnacentral:lncRNA from 1 species